rnacentral:rRNA from 1 species
CCUACGGGAGGCAGCAGUGAGGAAUAUUGGUCAAUGGACGAGAGUCUGAACCAGCCAAGUAGCGUGAAGGAUGACUGCCCUAUGGGUUGUAAACUUCUUUUAUAUGGGAAUAAAACGUUCCACGUGUGGGCUUUUGUAUGUACCAUAUGAAUAAGGAUCGGCUAACUCCGUGCCAGCAGCCGCGGUAAUACGGAGGAUCCGAGCGUUAUCCGGAUUUAUUGGGUUUAAAGGGAGCGUAGGUGGAUUGUUAAGUCAGUUGUGAAAGUUUGCGGCGCAACCGUAAAAUUGCAGUUGAAACUGGCAGUCGUGAGUACAGUAGAGGUGGGCGGAAUUCGUGGUGUAGCGGUGAAAUGCUUAGAUAUCACGAAGAACUCCGAUGGCGAAGGCAGUUCACUGGACUGCAACUGACACUGAGGCUCGAAAGUGUGGGUAGCAAACAGGAUUAGAUACCCGGGUAGUC